GCCCUAGCCGUUUUGGAAGCAACCGUGGUAGUGCUGGAUCUUCCCGAGCUGCGGGAGCAAGUGGAAAUACUGGCUCUAGAAGCUCCAGCUCACCCUCUGCUUCCUCUAGCCAGUAAUGAAUAAUCAACAAUACUAGGCAUCUUACAAAUACCGGAGUUACAUGCAGUGGUUCCCUAAUUAUUUCAAAGAACAAGAUAGACUGUCAGCUCAAUAAAUGUACAGUUCACAAGUUCUCCGUCCUACUUCGGAAUGACUCAACAAUAAAUAUGAUGUUCCAAAUU
rnacentral:lncRNA from 1 species